rnacentral:lncRNA from 1 species
UGCUGUAUCAUAAGUUUACAUCAAUAUACCUAUUAUAGUUUAUAGAUAUCAAUCCUGCUGUGAUAAUGUUAUUUAAUAUUAUUAUCAAUUAGGCUUAUUAUUGUUAUCAUUCAUGGUUUUAUUGAUACGAUUCCUUCUGUUUUUAGAAUAUCUUUAAAACGUUAAGAUCCUGCAAUUAGGUACCCUCAAAGAAUUAUUCCUGCUAAUUCAUGUACCUAUUUAGAUAAUAUUAUCUUCUAGAGUAUCAGGUGUACUCACAUUUUUCCUGCUGGUAAACCAAAUUCUUUUAAAAUGUUAGCACAUUAUGUACAUUUUUGCAUCGUGCUGACUCUCAAUAAUUAAAAUGACUUUUUAAUACGUCCACUGGGAAGUUUUUCCUAUUUAUACACAAGUUUUCUAAAUAGAGAUACAUUCUAAGAAAAUCCUGCUACAAGAAAGAAGAUGACUUAUGCUGCUGACUUAUUUGUGGUUUGCAUUGUAUCUUUCGGUGCAAAAUAUACCUUGUUUUAAUUUUA